rnacentral:sRNA from 1 species
UGCCAAUCAUCCACCUAAUUUAUAAAUAGACUGUAUUCCCUUCAUACCUUUCCUUUCAUUUCGAUAGGCAGCUUAGCUGGUAGUAGAAGCCGCUGCCCCUCCGGUCGUCGGUCGGGGUAGAAAGCAACAGCAGGGGAACAUUCUCUCGAAGAUUAGAUUAGAAUCGAAGCUUGAAGCUCAAAACUUAGUGGAGCCUGAGUUACAUACGAUUCAAGGUCCCAUAGCUUCUCCUAUCCCGUUCAAUGGUGCUUGACUAUCACCGUUCCAGGGAAGUCCCUUGAUCGAACAGCAUUCUGAAUGGGAAGGGCUGAUUGAUAGAUAAAUAUACAGUAUAUAACUCCAAACAGCCUCAUCAGUAUCAAUGCCUCUUUCAUUCAGCCGUCGACUUCCACCUCCUUUUAUUCGCAUCAUAGUGAAUUACUGAUUAAUUGAGGAAUGUGCAAUCACGCUUCCAAUCCUGUAACACUGCAAGCCACGAAUUUAUCAAAUCCGCCAAAGACGUUAAAAGGGUCAUGGGCCAUGAGUCCUUUGUCGACUUAUGUCUUCAUACUUCAUUUGUCAUGAGUGAUCUCAAGGUAUACUUAUUAUGUUCCUUCGCCUAUUACGCAGGCAUCCACCCGUCGGAAAGUGACGUAUGGAUGAUGUCGUAUGGCGAAGCGCCUAUAUGAUGUAGAAGCGUAUCAGCUCGGUCCAUUUCUAUCCAGCCCUACUAUGCCGCUGAUUGUGGUAUGACUUUUGAAUUUCAUCCUCGGGUUAGCUUUGGUCAUCUUUCCCUGGCUAGCCUCCACGGUUGUGCAUUCUGUCGGCGCUUCGCCCUGCAAAGAAUUGUUGCUUCUCGAGUAGAAGCUGCCGGCUCUUGCGGACUUUGUGUUGUUUGUGUUAUCCUAGAGGAGGAGGCACUUCUCGUUUGGUGAGUCUGCAUGUUCUCAUGUACAUUGCCUCCAUUGAGAUCUUUCCCCCCUCCGAUAGCAACCCAGGCAUCGGCCUAUUGGUCAUGUAUCGCCGGGCAACGGAAGCCAUUGUUCUCAUUCAUGUGUCUGUUUUUGUGGCCCAACCAGGUUGAUGUACUUCAAUCGAUCCUAAUCCGGAUUUUGAGAUACAAUCUCAGUUGCAGCAUCUAUCUGCCCUUCCAGAGUUCUGGAAUUAUGAUGAUAGAGACGACAAUAUAAUUAUAUAAUGUAUGAUGUCCCUUACG